rnacentral:tRNA from 1 species
AUGGGUUUAGGUUAAAAAGAACCAUAAGCCUUCAAAGCUUACAGUAGAAGUUUGAAUCUUCUAACCCUUG